rnacentral:rRNA from 1 species
AGAGCAAUUCGAUGGUACCUAGAGUCCGUGAAAAGACGAGCGUGGUAUUCGUACCGAGAUCCGACACAGGUACUCUGGCAGAGCAAGCCAAGGCCCGUCGGGAGCAACCGACGUUAGGGAAUUCGGCAAAUUAGUCCCGUAAGUUCGCGAGAAGGGAUGCCUGCUCCGUAGACGAGCAGGUCGCAGUGACUUGGGCGCUCCGACUGUCUAGUAACAACAUAGGUGACCGCAAAUCCGCAAGGACUCGUACGGUCACUGAAUCCUGCCCAGUGCGGGUAUCUGAACACCUAGUACAAUAGGACGAAGGACCCGUCAACGGCGGGGGUAACUAUGACCCUCUUAAGGUAGCGUAGUACCUUGCCGCUUCAGUAGCGGCUUGCAUGAAUGGAUCAACGAGAGCGCCACUGUCCCAACGUUGGGCCCGGUGAACUGUACGUUCCAGUGCGGAGUCUGGAGACCCCCAAGGGGAAGCGAAGACCCUAUAGAGCUUUACUGCAGGCUGUCGCUGAGACAUGGUCGCUAAUGUGCAGCAUAGGUAGAAGACAUUACACAGGUACCCGCGCCAGCGGGCCACCGAGUCACCAUUGAAAUACUACCCGUUAGUGACUGUGACUCUCACUCCGGGAGGAGGACACCGGUAGCCGGGCAGUUUGACUGGGGCGGUACGCGCUCGAAAAGAUAUCGAGCGCGCCCCAAGGUUUCCUCACUCGGGUCGGAAACCCGAGGAAGAGCGCAAGAGCAAACGGAAGCCUGACAGUGUCCUACACAACGAGGGACGCUGACACGAAAGUGUGGUCUAGCGAACCUACGAAGCUGCUUGAUGCGGCUCGUAGAUGACAGAAAAGCUACCUUAGGGAUAACAGAGUCGUCACCGGCAAGAGCACAUAUCGACCCGGUGGCUUGCUACCUCGAUGUCGGUUCCCUCCAUCCUGCCUGUGCAGAAGCAGGCAAGGGUGAGGUUGUUCGCCUAUUAAAGGAGGUCGUGAGCUGGGUUUAGACCGUCGUGAGACAGGUCGGCUGCUAUCUAUUGGGGGUGUUAAGGUACUUGACGUGAACGAACGUAUAGUACGAGAGGAACUACGUUUGGGUGCCACUGGUGUACCGGUUGUCUGACAAGGCAAAUGCCGGGAAGCUACGCACCACGGGGUAAGAGCUGAACGCAUCUAAGCUCGAAACCCACAUGAAAAAGAAGUACCACCGAGGACACUCGUAGAAGACGAGUUAGAUAGACUCGGGGUGUACGCGCCGAGGCAACGAGGCGUUCAGCCCGCGAGCACUAACAGUCCAAGCCACAUUCAUACCGCAUGGGAACCCGUGUCCGUAAACGGGUCCAGGUGCUAACUGGAAUGCACGAACACAUUGGUUGUCAA